ACGGUCCUAAGGUAGCGAAAUUCCUUGUCGGGUAAGUUCCGACCUGCACGAAUGGCGUAAUGAUGGCCAGGCUGUCUCCACCCGAGACUCAGUGAAAUUGAACUCGCUGUGAAGAUGCAGUGUACCCGCGGCAAGACGGAAAGACCCCGUGAACCUUUACUAUAGCUUGACACUGAACAUUGAGCCUUGAUGUGUAGGAUAGGUGGGAGGCUUUGAAGUGUGGACGCCAGUCUGCAUGGAGCCAACCUUGAAAUACCACCCUUUAAUGUUUGAUGUUCUAACUCCGGUCCCUAAUCGGGAUUGAGGACAGUGUCUGGUGGGUAGUUUGACUGGGGCGGUCUCCUCCUAAAGAGUAACGGAGGAGCACGAAGGUUAGCUAAUCACGGUCGGACAUCGUGAGGUUAGUGCAAUGGCAUAAGCUAGCUUGACUGCGAGAGUGACGGCUCGAGCAGGUACGAAAGUAGGUCAUAGUGAUCCGGUGGUUCUGAAUGGAAGGGCCAUCGCUCAACGGAUAAAAGGUACUCCGGGGAUAACAGGCUGAUACCGCCCAAGAGUUCAUAUCGACGGCGGUGUUUGGCACCUCGAUGUCGGCUCAUCACAUCCUGGGGCUGAAGUAGGUCCCAAGGGUAUGGCUGUUCGCCAUUUAAAGUGGUACGCGAGCUGGGUUUAGAACGUCGUGAGACAGUUCGGUCCCUAUCUGCCGUGGGCGUUGGAAGAUUGAGAGGGGCUGCUCCUAGUACGAGAGGACCGGAGUGGACGCAUCACUGGUGUUCGGGUUGUCAUGCCAAUGGCAUUGCCCGGUAGCUAAAUGCGGAAAAGAUAAGCGCUGAAAGCAUCUAAGCGCGAAACUUGCCUCGAGAUGAGUCUUCCCUGAGACCUUGAGUCUCCUAAAGGAACGUUUAAGACUAAGACGUUGAUAGGCUGGGUGUGUAAGCGUAGCGAUACGUUGAGCUAACCAGUACUAAUGAUCCGUGAGGCUUAACCUU
rnacentral:rRNA from 1 species